GUCAAGUAAGAAUACCCGCUGAACUUAAGCAUAUCAAUAAGCGGAGGAAAAGAAACUAACUAGGGUUCCCUUAGUAACGGCGAGUGAACUGGGAAGAGCUCAAAUUUUAAAUCACUUUGGUGAAUUGUAAUUUGAAGAAAGUGUUUUGACUUUUCAGUUUAAUCUAAAUCCUUUGGGAUGAGGUAUCAUAGAGGGUGAGAAUCCCGUUUGUGAUUAAACCUCGGAUUGCACUAAUUCACUUUCUAAGAGUCGAGUUGUUUGGGAUUGCAGCUCUAAAUGGGUGGUAAAUUUCACCUAAGGCUAAAUAUAUGCAAGAGACCGAUAGCGAACAAGUACCGUGAGGGAAAGAUGAAAAGAACUUUGAAAAGAGAGUUAAACAGUACGUGAAAUUGUUGAAAGGGAAACGAUUGAAGUCAGUCAUGCUAGUGAGGAAUCAACUUGGUGGUUUACUUCCUUGUGUAUUUUCUUACUUGGCAGGUUAGCAUCAAUUUUGGUUGUCAUCAAAUAAUUGGGGGAAUGUGGCUUUUCUUCGGAAAAGUGUUAUAGACCUUGAUAGAUGUGGCGACUGGGAUUGAGGUUUGCAGCGGAUGCCUUUGGCUAGUCACCUAUCUUCUGACCGUCACCUCACUUUUGACAGCUUGCUGAUGAUUGCGGGAUUUGGUGGCCCAGAAGUUAGAAUGUACAUAAAUUCGCUAAGGAUGCUGACGUAAUGGCUUUAAACGACCCGUCUUGAAACACGGACCAAGGAGUCUAACAUAUGUGCGAGUGUU
rnacentral:rRNA from 1 species